rnacentral:rRNA from 1 species
UACGAAGGGGGCUAGCGUUGUUCGGAAUCACUGGGCGGAAAGCGCACGUAGGCGGAUGUGUCAGUCAGGGGUGAAAUCCCGGAGCUCAACUCCGGAACUGCCUCUGAUACAGCACGUCUUGAGUUCGAGAGAGGUGGGUGGAAUUCCUAGUGUAGAGGUGAAAUUCGUAGAUAUUAGGAAGAACACCGGUGGCGAAGGCGGCCCACUGGCUCGAUACUGACGCUGAGGAGCGAAGGCCAGGGGAGCAAACGGG